AUUGAACGCUGGCGGCAGGCCUAACACAUGCAAGUCGAGCGGAUGAAGAGAGCUUGCUCUCUGAUUUAGCGGCGGACGGGUGAGUAAUGCCUAGGAAUCUGCCUGGUAGUGGGGGAUAACGUUCCGAAAGGAACGCUAAUAACGCAUACGUCCUACGGGAGAAAGCAGGGGACCUUCGGGCCUUGCGCUAUCAGAUGAGCCUAGGUCCGAUUAGCUAGUUGGUGAGGUAAUGGCUCACCAAGGCCACGAUCCGUAACUGGUCUGAGAGGAUGAUCAGUCACACUGGAACUGAGACACGGUCCAGACUCCUACGGGAGGCAGCAGUGGGGAAUAUUGGAUAAUGGGCGGAAGCCUGAUCCAGCCAUGCCGCGUGUGUUAAGAAGGUCUUCGGAUUGUAAAGCACUUUAAGUUGGGAGGAAGGGCAGUAAGUUAAUACCUUGCUGUUUUGACGUUACCGACAGAAUAAGCACCGGCUAACUUCGUGCCAGCAGCCGCAGUAAAAC
rnacentral:rRNA from 1 species